rnacentral:rRNA from 1 species
GCGAGAGAGCUUGCUCUCUUGGCGGCGAGUGGCGGACGGCCGAGUAAUAUAUCGGAACGUGCCCAGUAGCGGGGGAUAACUACUCGAAAGAGUGGCUAAUACCGCAUACGCCCUACGGGGGAAAGGGGGGGAUCGCAAGACCUCUCACUAUUGGAGCGGCCGAUAUCGGAUUAGCUAGUUGGUGGGGUAAAGGCUCACCAAGGCAACGAUCCGUAGCUGGUUUGAGAGGACGACCAGCCACACUGGGACUGAGACACGGCCCAGACUCCUACGGGAGGCAGCAGUGGGGAAUUUUGGACAAUGGGGGAAACCCUGAUCCAGCCAUCCCGCGUGUAUGAUGAAGGCCUUCGGGUUGUAAAGUACUUUUGGCAGAGAAGAAAAGGUAUCCCCUAAUACGGGAUACUGCUGACGGUAUCUGCAGAAUAAGCACCGGCUAACUACGUGCCAGCAGCCGCGGUAAUACGUAGGGUGCAAGCGUUAAUCGGAAUUACUGGGCGUAAAGCGUGUGUAGGCGGUUCGGAAAGAAAGAUGUGAAAUCCCAGGGCUCAACCUUGGAACUGCAUUUUUAACUGCCGAGCUAGAGUAUGUCAGAGGGGGGUAGAAUUCCACGUGUAGCAGUGAAAUGCGUAGAUAUGUGGAGGAAUACCGAUGGCGAAGGCAGCCCCCUGGGAUAAUACUGACGCUCAGACACGAAAGCGUG